UGGAGAGCGAGCUCCUGGCGUGCAGAACCCUGAGCUCCCAGGCCACCUGCCAGCAUAGGUUGUCACCCCCACCCAGACCCCAGAGGUGGGAGGCACAGGGUGGGGGAGGGCACGGCCCAUGGUGAGCCCACUCCACCGACUUUAGAGUCACUGCCCGACGCCUCCAUUGAUAUUCCCAGAACACCCAAAUGACGUGAGGCUGUUCCAGGUCCUGUGCGGUGCAUUGAACAGCAUCUGGGUCACUGAUGGAAUGCAGAGGAGACUGGGUCCUGUCCUCUUCUGUCCCUGUGCGGGCACGUUCCAGCACCAGAUUACGUCACGGUCCUGGUCGUGAGUGAGCCACUCACCCGUCUGGUCUGAGCUCAAUUUGCAAAUGCCACCCCCUGCCCCCCACCGUGGGCUCCUGUAAAUAUUCAUCAAAAAUGAGGUCAGAUGAAGCAGCGGACUUCAGCUAAGGAUCAUUAUUAACACAAACCGCAGCCUUGUCCCCACCUGGGGAGGGCGGAUGACAAUACGGUCAAGGGCGGGCCAAGAAUCACAUUUCAAGAGCUUAGGAGAAAUCAGGCAGUGCUUAAGUGAAAUCAGGCAGCACUUAAGUGAAAUCAGGCUGCAGGAAGGGGCACAAGAUGUUAAU
rnacentral:lncRNA from 1 species